rnacentral:rRNA from 1 species
CCCUUAGAUGUUCUGGGCCGCACGCGCGCUACACUGAUACGUUCAACAAGUUCCUUGGCCGAAAGGUCUGGGUAAUCUUUGAAACCGUAUCGUGAUGGGGAUAGAACAUUGCAAUUAUUGUUCUUCAACGAGGAAUGCCUAGUAAGCGCGAGUCAUCAACUCGCGUUGAUUACGUCCCUGCCCUUUGUACACACCGCCCGUCGCUCCUACCGAUUGAAUGGUCCGGUGAAAUCUCGGGACGGCGGCUUGGUCGCUUGCGUCCGACUGCUGAAACUUGAUUAAACCAUAUCAUUUAGAGGAAGGUGAAGUCGUNACA